rnacentral:snRNA from 1 species
UGAUGUGAGAGAGAUCUGGCUACUAUGUCUGCCACCCCUCUGGUCACCGAAGUUGAUGCAGCUGAUUUGGCUGACUGGGAGAGUGUCUGCUUCCUCCCUCACCACUCAGCAAGAAUCAUUCUUGAAGUUUUCCACUCAAGAGGACAACAACCUUCUCCAACUAAAGGAGAACAGUAUCCAGUCCAGGGGAUCUGAGUAGUUUCAUUCCCCUGCUAGAACCUCCAAAUAAGCUCUCAAAAUCCUAAAAACAAAGAAAUCUGGUUCAGACCAUUCAGGUUAAGAGGUAUUCAGCUCGGCCUCUGUUU